CUGGGAAUUGGCAUCCUGAUUCAGAACCACAAAGGUGAAUGCUUGGUCGCCUGCACUGAGCCACUUAAAGGGAUGGUACAGCCAAAACUUGCUGAAAGUUGGGCGCUCCGUCAAGCUGUGAUUCUCGCCCGUGAUGAGGGACUGACCUCUGUCAUUUUCGCUUCUGAUUGCCUCUCCUUAGUACAACGAGUGAACUCUUCAUCCAUAGACAGGUCUGAAAUGGGUGUAGUAGUGUCAGAUAUUAAGCGUUUGGUUGCUUGUUUUUCUUUUGUUUCCUUCUGCCAUGUCAAGAGGUCGUUGAAUGCUGCUGCUCACAUACUAGCUAGGGCCUGUGAGUUUGCUAGUUCAAAAGUUGUGUACUAUUCUACUCCAGAAUGUAUCAGGCAAACUCUUUGUACUGAUGUAUACUAA
rnacentral:rRNA from 1 species